AUUGAACGCUGGCGGCAGGCCUAACACAUGCAAGUCGAGCGGAUGAAGGGAGCUUGCUCCUGGAUUCAGCGGCGGACGGGUGAGUAAUGCCUAGGAAUCUGCCUGGUAGUGGGGGAUAACGUCCGGAGACGGGCGCUAAUACCGCAUACGUCCUGAGGGAGAAAGUGGGGGAUCUUCGGACCUCACACUAUCAGAUGAGCCUAGGUCGGAUUAGCUAGUUGGUGGGGUAAAGGCCUACCAAGGCGACGAUCCGUAACUGGUCUGAGAGGAUGAUCAGUCACACUGGAACUGAGACACGGUCCAGACUCCUACGGGAGGCAGCAGUGGGGAAUAUUGGACAAUGGGCGAAAGCCUGAUCCAGCCAUGCCGCGUGUGUGAAGAAGGUCUUCGGAUUGUAAAGCACUUUAAGUUGGGAGGAAGGGCAGUAAGUUAAUACCUUGCUGUUUUGACGUUACCAACAGAAUAAGCACCGGCUAACUUCGUG
rnacentral:rRNA from 1 species